ACAGUGUCACGGGUGCAUUCCAUGAAAAUGGGAUUGAGAAGCAGCCUUCGAACCUGUUGGGUAAUGCCAUCGUAGGAAAGUGACGCGAGCAAAUUC
rnacentral:ncRNA from 1 species